rnacentral:lncRNA from 1 species
CUCAACCCACAGGCCUCAUAUUAACUCUUGAUCUCUAUUAUACUUGAUUAUUGUUUUUUGCAUACAACUUUCUUUUUCUUUUAAAAGUUAUUUACUAUUUUAAAAAUAAUAAAAUUUUAAAAGACAUAUUUCUACUAAAAGAACAGAAUUAUUUCCAACAGUACUUACAUCUCCAUUAAACUAUCAUUUCCACCUUUAUUCUU